rnacentral:lncRNA from 1 species
CUAGCUCUGACAGUAGGCUCUAUCACGACCUCCGAUGAUGGGAAAAUAUGGGUCGUGACAAGUUGGUAUCAGAGCCUAGGUUACUUGGGUCUCACAACUCACAGACAAGCUCGGCAGAGUCUGAGGGAUCGGUACGGAGACGUCUGUAUUUAUCUCCCAGAGGCUACAGGGUUAGGAAAAAUUUCACUUUGUUCAUUCUUGUCGUGCGGUUCUAUUUCUCAAAUAUUUAUUGUCGUUCUACUCUGUUCUUUCGCAGAUGGUGAGAACACAUGCAUCUUCUUCUUCUGCGCAGCAGCCCGAGCUCCCAACAACACCUCCCGCGAGGGCAGGGGCUGAGGCUGUGCCAGAGGACGUGGUAGGGGCAGAGCUCAGCCCCAGGCAUCAAUUCCAGAUGUGUAGCCUCAUACUGACUUUGAUGAGAAGGUUCCAGCCCUAGCAACUCCAUUGGGCCCAGCUUAGGUCCCAGGAGGGAUGGUGUUUUCCCCGGAUCUCCAUCAUGCUCUCGUUCGUAUAGCAGGUUUUAUGGAC